rnacentral:rRNA from 1 species
GAUGAACGCUGGCGGCGUGCCUAAUACAUGCAAGUCGAGCGAACAGACGGGGAGCUUGCUCCUCUGACGUUAGCGGCGGACGGGUGAGUAACACGUGGAUAACCUACCUAUAAGACUGGGAUAACUUCGGGAAACCGGAGCUAAUACCGGAUAAUAUAUUGAACCGCAUGGUUCAAUAGUGAAAGACGGUUUUGCUGUCACUUAUAGAUGGAUCCGCGCCGCAUUAGCUAGUUGGUAAGGUAACGGCUUACCAAGGCGACGAUGCGUAGCCGACCUGAGAGGGGGAUCGGCCCAACUGGAACGGAGACACGGUCCAGACUCCUCCGGGAGGCAGCAGUAGGGAAUCUUCCGCAAUGGGCGAAAGCCUGACGGAGCAACCCCGCGGGGGUGAGGAAGGUCUUCGGAUCGUAAAACUUUGUUAUUAGGGAAGAAAAAUGUGUAAGUAACUAUGCCCGUCUUGACGGUACCUAAUCAAAAAGCCACGGCUAACUACGG